rnacentral:rRNA from 1 species
UAUUAUUUUGGAUGUAAAAAAUGUUGGACUUGAGUAGUAGUAGUUAGGAUCUUGAAACUUAAAGAAUUUGGCGGUAUUUUGAUCUAUUUAGAGGAAUCUGUCCCGUAAUCGAUAAUCCGCGUUGGACCUUACUUAGUCUGAUUUAAUAUGUAUACCGCUGUUGUUGAAGAUCUUUUUAGGGUGAAAAAUUUUCUAAAGGUUUAAUAGAUAGAUUUUCAGGUCAAGGUGCAGUUAAUGGUUAAGUGGAGAUGGAUUACAAUAUUUAUGAAUAUAUGGAUUAUUAAUUGUAAUAUAUUGAUAUGAAGGUGGAUUUAAUAGUAAUGUUGUGUAGAUUGUCAAUAUGAUUGUAGCUCUAGAGUAUGCACACAUCGCCCGUCGCUCUCAUUAUUAUUUAAGAUGAG